UCACCGCAUUACAUAAGAAAGCCUGAAGACACAAAAACAUCUGAUGUACAGAACAGAGUAGAGCUGUAAUUGCACUGAAGGAGUUUUAUAUGCACUAAUAAGAUGAACCUGAAUAUGUCUGUCCUGAAGUCAACCUAAUGGACCCGAGACAAACAUAGAAGGGUUACUCAUCUAUGCUUAAAACUAUCUGUUAAAGAAACUGCUUAUACUUUUAGGGUUAUUCCACAUGGUUGUCAUUUGAUGAAACAUGGCACAACAACAGCUGGGUUUUCACAAUCUAACAAAUAAAAU